rnacentral:rRNA from 1 species
UACAGAGGUCCCGAGCGUUGUUCGGAUUCAUUGGGCGUAAAGGGUGCGUAGGCGGCGGGGCAAGUCUGAUGUGAAAUCCCGGGGCUCAACCCCGGAACUGCAUUGGAUACUGCCUUGCUUGAGUACUGGAGAGGAGACUGGAAUUUACGGUGUAGCAGUGAAAUGCGUAGAUAUCGUAAGGAAGGCCAGUGGCGAAGGCGAGUCUCGUGGACAGUUACUGACGCUGAGGCACGAAGGCCAGGGAGCAAACGGG